rnacentral:rRNA from 1 species
GAUCAUGGCUCAGGAUGAACGCUAGCUACAGGCUUAACACAUGCAAGUCGAGGGGCAGCGGGAUUGAAGCUUGUUUCAAUUGCCGGCGACCGGCGCACGGGUGAGUAACGCGUAUCCAACCUUCCGUACACUCAGGGAUAGCCUUUCGAAAGAAAGAUUAAUACCUGAUGGUAUGAUGAGAUUGCAUGAUAUCAUCAUUAAAGAUUUAUCGGUGUACGAUGGGGAGUGCCG